UCGAACGAAGCACUUUAUUUGAUUUCUUCGGAAUGAAGAUUUUGUGACUCAGUUGAGGACGGGUGAGUAACGCGUGGGUAACCUGCCUCAUACCGGGGGAUAACAGUUGGAAACGACUGCUAAUACCGCAUAAGCGCACAGGGUCGCAUGACCUGGUGUGAAAAACUCCGGUGGUAUGAGAUGGACCCGCGUCUGAUUAGCCAGUUGGUGGGGUAACGGCCUACCAAAGCGACGAUCAGUAGCCGACCUGAGAGGGUGACCGGCCACAUUGGGACUGAGACACGGCCCAAACUCCUACGGGAGGCAGCAGUGGGGAAUAUUGCACAAUGGGGGAAACCCUGAUGCAGCGACGCCGCGUGAGCGAAGAAGUAUUUCGGUAUGUAAAGCUCUAUCAGCAGGGAAGAAGAAAUGACGGUACCUGACUAAGAAGCACCGGCUAAAUACGUGCCAGCAGCCGCGGUAAUACGUAUGGUGCAAGCGUUAUCCGGAUUUACUGGGUGUAAAGGGAGCGCAGGCGGUACGGCAAGUCUGAUGUGAAAGCCCGGGGCUCAACCCCGGUACUGCAUUGGAAACUGUCGGACUAGAGUGUCGGAGGGGUAAGUGGAAUUCCUAGUGUAGCGGUGAAAUGCGUAGAUAUUAGGAGGAACACCAGUGGCGAAGGCGGCUUACUGGACGAUUACUGACGCUGAGGCUCGAAAGCGUGGGGAGCAAACAGGAUUAGAUACCCUGGUAGUCCACGCCGUANACGAUGAAUACUAGGUGUCGGGGAGCANUGCUCUUCGGUGCCGCAG
rnacentral:rRNA from 1 species